GACGUAGGGCGCGAGCGUUGUCCGGAUUUAUUGGGCGUAAAGAGCUCGUAGGCGGCUUGUUGCGUCGACUGUGAAAACCCGCGGCUUAACUGCGGGCUUGCAGUUGAUACGGGCAGGCUAGAGUUCGGUAGGGGAGACUGGAAUUCCUGGUGUAGCGGUGAAAUGCGCAGAUAUCAGGAGGAACACCGGUGGCGAAGGCGGGUCUCUGGGCAACAACUGACGCUGAGGAGCGAAAGCGUGGGGAGCGAACAGG
rnacentral:rRNA from 1 species